rnacentral:rRNA from 1 species
CGCUGGCGGCAUGCCUAACACAUGCAAGUCGAACGAGACCUUCGGGUCUAGUGGCGCACGGGUGCGUAACACGUGGGAAUUUGCUCGGGGUAUGGAAUAACUCAGGGAAACUUGAGCUAAUACCAUAUAAUGUCUUCGGACCAAAGAUUUAUCGCCCUGAGAUAAGCCCGCGUAGGAUUAGCUAGUUGGUGGGGUAAAGGCUCACCAAGCCGACGAUCUGUAGCUGGUCUGAGAGGACGACCAGCCACACUGGGACUGAGACACGGCCCAGACUCCUACGGGAGGCAGCAGUGGGGAAUUUUGGACAAUGGGCGCAAGCCUGAUCCAGCAAUGCCGCGUGCAGGAUGAAGGCCUUCGGGUUGUAAACUGCUUUUGUACGGAACGAAACGGUGAGCUCUAAUACAGUUUGCUAAUGACGGUACCGUAAGAAUAAGCACCGGCUAACUACGUG